GUCCUAUUGAUUAUUAUUUUAGGUCUGGCCUGCCCAAUGAUAAAUAUUUAAUGGCCGCGGUAAUUUGACCGUGCAAAGGUAGCAUAAUCAUUAGUUUUUUAAUUGAAAGCUUGUAUGAAAGGUUUAAUGAAAAAAUAACUGUCUCUGUUAAAAUUUAUUUUAAAAAUUUAUUUUUAAGUUAAAAAGCUUAAAUUUUUAUAGAAGACGAGAAGACCCUAUAGAGUUUUACAUAAUUUUAAGUAAAUAAAGUUUUAGUAUUAUUUAGUUUAUUUUUUAUUAUGUUUAAUUGGGGUGAUUAAAAAAUUUGCUUAACUUUUUUUUAGAAUUUCCAUUUAUUUAUGUUUGUAUGAUCCUUUACUAAAGAUUAAAAGAAAAAAUUACCUUAGGGAUAACAGCGUAAUUUUUUUUUAGAGUUCUUAUCGAAAAAAAAGAUUGCGACCUCGAUGUUGGAUUAAAAAAAAUUAUUGGUGUAGAAGCUAAUAAAUUAGGUCUGUUCGACCUUUAAAAUUUUACAUGAUCUGAGUUUAAACCGGUGUAAG
rnacentral:rRNA from 1 species